rnacentral:tRNA from 1 species
GCGCCGGUAACUCAAUCGCACGAGUGCCCGAUUACUAAUCGGGUUGAUGUGGGUUGGAGCCCCACCCGGCGCA